rnacentral:rRNA from 1 species
AGAUUUGAGGGGAGCUGCUUCUAGUACGAGAGGACCGAAGUGGACGAACCCCUAGUGUACCAGUUGUCUCUCCAGAGGCAUUGCUGGGUAGCUAUGUUCGGAAGGGAUAAGCGCUGAAAGCAUCUAAGUGCGAAGCCCACCUCAAGAUGAAAUCUCCCUUCCCGAUUCGUCGGGACUAAAGGCUCCUCGGAGAUGACGAGGUUGAUAGGCCAUAGGUGUAAGCACAGUAAUGUGUUCAGCCGAAUGGUACUAAUAAGCCGUGAGGCUUAACCAU